rnacentral:ncRNA from 1 species
UAGGAUCUUCGGGGCAGGGUGCAAUUCCCGACCGGCGGUAAUGCCAAUUCGCAGCGCAGCAACGCGCCAGCCGAAUGGACAAGCCCGCGAGCCGCAAGGCAGGAGCUGGUGCGAUCCCAGCGCCGACGGUACAGUCCGGAUGGGAGAAGGUCCGC